rnacentral:rRNA from 1 species
CGACCUUCUUCGCCUUAAAGCUCCUAGGCAUUCACCAUAGACUCUUAUUACUUUGACCAUAUUUUUAUCUUCCAUCUCUAUUUUGCCAAUUUGCUUAUGCAACAUAGAAUAAUAUAUAUCUUUGUUUAAUCCAUGUCAAUAUAUAUUUUAUUUUUUAUAUUAUUUAAAUAAAACAUUCAAAAACAUGAACAUCUAAAAACAUAAAAAAUAAAAUCAAUGUUUAAAGUAUAAAAUAAAAA